rnacentral:misc_RNA from 1 species
AAAAUACGAAAAGUAAUAUGAAUUGCAGAAACGAAUCAUCAACUAUUUGAACGCACAUUGCGCCCCUUGGUAUUCCAUGGGGCAUGCCUGUUCGAGCGUCAUUUGUACCCUCAAGCUCUGCUUGGUGUUGGGUGUUUGUCCCCGUCUCCGCGCGUGGACUCGCCCCAAAGUGAUUGGCAGCCGGCGUACUGGUCCCGGAGCGCAGCACAUGUCGCGCAAACGAGUGCCUUGGUACGGCGGCGUCCAUAAGCCCCUCUCUCACGCUCUUGACCUCGGAUCAGGUACGGAUACCCGCUGAACUUACGC